rnacentral:rRNA from 1 species
AUUGAACGCUGGCGGCAUGCCUUACACAUGCAAGUCGAACGGCAGCACGGGUGCUUGCACCUGGUGGCGAGUGGCGAACGGGUGAGUAAUAUAUCGGAACGUACCUUAUCGUGGGGGAUAACGCAGCGAAAGCUGCGCUAAUACCGCAUACGCCCUGAGGGGGGAAAGCGGGGGACCGUAAGGCCUCGCGCGAUUAGAGCGGCCGAUAUCUGAUUAGCUUGUUGGUGGGGUAAAAGCCCACCAAGGCGACGAUCAGUAGCUGGUCUGAGAGGACGAUCAGCCACACUGGGACUGAGACACGGCCCAGACUCCUACGGGAGGCAGCAGUGGGGAAUUUUGGACAAUGGGGGCAACCCUGAUCCAGCAAUGCCGCGUGAGUGAAGAAGGCCUUCGGGUUGUAAAGCUCUUUUGUCAGGGAAGAAACAGCAGCUCUAACACAGUCUGCGAAUGACGGUACCUGAAGAAUAAGCACCGGCUAACUACGUG